rnacentral:lncRNA from 10 species
GGAAAAGAGAGAGAUGCCAAUCUGAAUCAAGAGGACUCACAGGGAAUGCAGGCUUGUUUCAUCAGAAAGCCACUCAGGAGCCCGGGGAGGCUGACCUAGAAGGGUAAGAGUCCAUGGAUGGUUACACCCUCCCCUGGGAGCCAGAGACGUGGCAGAAGAAAACCAAGCACUUUGUCCUUGGACUCCUUCAAGCUUGGAGGGGAGACUGGUUGCUGGGAUUAGGACAUUCCUGGUGUUCCAAAGAUUGCAAACUCAGAUGCUUCAGGGUUGUGCAGGUAAAGUAAAUGAGGAAGUCGGGCUGCAUGUGGACAACAGGAAUAGUCAGAAAGCGAGCUGGGGAUGUUAUUUCAACAAAAUCAAAACCAAAUAACUCUCUGUGCCAGCCAAUUGGAUGCUUCACCCUGGGAAGAACUUGGCCUGCAGGCUCAGAUUUGUGACCAGUGAGGAUGCAGAGACUGUCACCUCCUCAGGGGCGAUCUGCUAAUUCUAGAAUGGCGCUGUCCCACGGAAAUAUAUCACAAGCCAAGAAUGCAAUUUAAAAUUUUCUAUUAGCCAUAUUAAAAACAGUAAAAAGAAACAGUUGAAAUUAAUUUUAAUAUGAUAUUUAACUCAAUAUAUCCAAAAGAUU